UACGUAGGGGGCUAGCGUUGUCCGGAUUUAUUGGGACGUAAAGAGCGUGUAGGCGGCCAGGUAGGUCUGCUGUGAAAACUCGAGGCUCAACCUCCGAGACGUCGGCGGGAAAACCAUCUGGCUAGGAGUCCGGAAAGAGGAGAGUGGAAUUCCGUGGUGUAGCGGUGAAAUGCGCAGAUAUCAGGAAGAACACCCGUGGCGAAAGCGGCUUCCUGGACCAGAACUGACGAUCAGGCUCGGAAAGCCGUGGGGAGCAAACAGG
rnacentral:rRNA from 1 species